rnacentral:piRNA from 1 species
UNCUAUGGACCUGCCCAACCAAGGUGCUC